UUUUUUGGGGUGAUUUGAGUCAAUUUCUGGCCAUUUUUGCGGGUAAUUUGCAUCAAUUUCUGGUCAUUUUUUGGGGGAGAUUUGGGUGAGUUUUGGGUCAUUUUUUGGGGAGAUUUGUUUGAGUUUCUGGUCAUUUUUGGGGGAGAUUUUGUGUGAGUUUUGGGUCAUUUUUGGGGGUGAUUUUGGUCAGUUUCUGGUCAUUUUUUGGGGUGAUUUGGGUCAGUUUUGACAAGUGAAUGAAAUGACAAGUGAAAUGAAAGAGAAAAACAACUCUUCUUGGGCACCUCGU
rnacentral:lncRNA from 1 species